ACAGCGCCUUGGCCUCUGCCACAGUGCUCUGCUCUGGAGCUGGAAACGCGAACCAAAGUAAACCUCGCCUCCUGCACAUCUCGGGCACCGGGUAUUCUCAGCCACAAGAAAGUAAUGAAGACCCUGGAGGAACAUCGUGAGGGCCCUGCUUCAUUAGAGCACGACCGCUUUCCAGCAGCCCUGCACAAGCUGCGUGGAGAAUGCCCUGCUCAUGCGGCUGAGCUGAGCACAGCUCCUUCCAGGCCGCCUGCCUGCCCUCCACGCUUGCACCAGAGCCCGGCAGAGCCGCAAGCUUUCACUCCCCAAGGCCUAAACAGGAGCCCAGCGGGAGCUUCUCACUUUCAUCCCCAGGCCUGCACCAGAGCCCAGCAGGAGCUCCACGCUUUUACCCCCCAGGCCUG